UACGGGGGGGGCAAGCGUUGUUCGGAAUUACUGGGCGUAAAGGGCGCGUAGGCGGCCUGCUAAGUCACACGUGAAAUCCCUCGGCUCAACCUGGGAACUGCAUCCGAUACUGGAUGGCUUGAAUUCGGGAGAGGGAUGCAGAAUUCCAGGUGUAGCGGUGAAAUGCGUAGAUAUCUGGAGGAAUACCGGUGGCGAAGGCGGCAUCCUGGACCGACAUUGACGCUGAGGAGCGAAAGCUAGGGGAGCAAACGGG
rnacentral:rRNA from 1 species